GACGAACGCUGGCGGCGCGCCUAACACAUGCAAGUCGAACGAGAGAUGAGGAGCUUGCUCUUCAAAUCGAGUGGCGAACGGGUGAGUAACGCGUGAGGAACCUGCCUCAAAGAGGGGGACAACAGUUGGAAACGACUGCUAAUACCGCAUAAGCCCACGGCUCGGCAUCGAGCAGGGGGAAAAGGAGCAAUCCGCUUUGAGAUGGCCUCGCGUCCGAUUAGCUAGUUGGUGAGGUAACGGCCCACCAAGGCGACGAUCGGUAGCCGGACUGAGAGGUUGAACGGCCACAUUGGGACUGAGACACGGCCCAGACUCCUACGGGAGGCAGCAGUGGGGAAUAUUGCACAAUGGGGGAAACCCUGAUGCAGCGACGCCGCGUGGAGGAAGAAGGUCUUCGGAUUGUAAACUCCUGUUGUUGAGGAAGAUAAUGACGGUACUCAACAAGGAAGUGACGGCUAACUACGUGCCAGCAGCCGCGGUAAAACGUAGGUCACAAGCGUUGUCCGGAAUUACUGGGUGUAAAGGGAGCGCAGGCGGGAGAACAAGUUGGAAGUGAAAUCCAUGGGCUCAACCCAUGAACUGCUUUCAAAACUGUUUUUCUUGAGUAGUGCAGAGGUAGGCGGAAUUCCCGGUGUAGCGGUGGAAUGCGUAGAUAUCGGGAGGAACACCAGUGGCGAAGGCGGCCUACUGGGCACCAACUGACGCUGAGGCUCGAAAGUGUGGGUAGCAAACAGGAUUAGAUACCCUGGUAGUCCACACCGUAAACGC
rnacentral:rRNA from 1 species